rnacentral:lncRNA from 1 species
GUUUUAACUCCAACCCUGUUCCUGGAGAGCUACCCUCCUGUAGGAUUUAACUCCAACCCUGUUCCUGGAGAGAUACCCCUCCUGUAGGUUUAUACUCCAACCCUGUUCCUGGAGAGCUACCCUCCUGUAGGUUUUAACUCCAACCCUGUUCCUGGAGAGCUACCCUCCUGUAGGUUUUAACUCCAACCCUGUUCCUGGAGAGAUAUCCUCCUGUAGGUUUUAACUCCAACCCUGUUCCUGGAGAGAUAUCCUCCUGUAGGUUUUAACUCCAACCCUGUUCCUGGAGAGAUGCCCUCCUGUAGGUUUUAACUCCAACCCUGUUCCUGGAGAGCUACCCUCCUGUAGGUUUUAACUCCAACCCUGUUCCUGGAGAGAUACCCUCCUGUAGGUUUUAACUCCAACCCUGUUCCUGGAGAGAUACCCUCCUGUAGGUUU